rnacentral:rRNA from 1 species
GACGAACGCUGGCGGCGUGCUUAACACAUGCAAGUCGAACGGUGAAGCGCCUUCCUUUUUGGUGGGUGUGGAUGAGUGGCGAACGGGUGAGUAACACGUGAGUAACCUGCCCCCUUCUUCUGGAUAACCGCAUGAAAGUGUGGCUAAUACGGGAUAUUCUGGGUCUGUCGCAUGAUGGGUCUGGGAAAGAUAUUGUUUCGGUGGGGGAUGGGCUCGCGGCCUAUCAGCUUGUUGGUGGGGUGAUGGCCUACCGAGGCGGUGACGGGUAGCCGGCCUGAGAGGGUGGACGGUCAAAGUGGGAGUGAGACACGGCCCAGACUCCUACGGGAGGCAGCAGUGGGGAAUAGUGCACAAUGGGCGCAAGGCUGAUGCAGCGACGCCGCGUGAGGGAUGGAGGCCUUCGGGUUGUGAACCUCUUUCGCCAGUGAAGCAGGCCUGCCUCGUUUGUGGGUGGGUUGACGGUAGCUGGAUAAGAAGCGCCGGCUAACUACGU